UGGGGCAUAAUGAGGGAAACGAUAAUUUGUUGAUAAUGAUGAAGGACCAGUUUGCAAAUUAUGUUGUCCAGAAGAUUUUUGACAGGUGCACUGAUAAUCAGCGGGCAGUGUUGCUUAAUCGAAUCAGAAUACAUGCCCAUGCUUUAAAGAAAUACACUUACGGGAAACACAUUGUUGCUCGGUUUGAACAGCAAUUCGGAGAAGAAAAUCAAAUAUCGGGAUCGUGAGCCCAGAUGAAGAGAAUUAUUAUGGGAUUCUUGCCUCUGCAGCUCCGGCUGAGAUGAAUUACCGUGCAUUAUGUCAAUGUUUGGGGAUUGAAAUGAGAGCAUAACACAGUUGUUUUCCCCCUUCAUCCGAAAACGCUGACAUGAUUACGUGCGCAUUGAUAGCUUCAGCUGUUGGAAGCUCAAUGAUGGGUAAUAAUAGAGGGUUGAAUAGAGUGCAAAGUUGGUAAAUAUAUGUAUAUCUGGUUUUAGGUAUUUGCAGUAUAUUAUUAAGAAAAGGAGGGAAAAGAGGGUAAAGAGUUUUUUAUUUAGAAAUUUCUCACUUUGGAACGUGUUAAAGGGGGAAUUAUUCGGAAGGAAACUCUUCCUGUUGUGUAAAAAUUGCUUAAAACGA